rnacentral:rRNA from 1 species
GAUGAACGCUGGCGAGAUGCUUUACACAUGCAAGUCGUACGAGAGUUUUAAACUCAAGUGGCGGACGGGUGAGUAACACGUAAGAAUUUACCUUUAGGAGGGGGACAACAGUUGGAAACAGCUGCUAAUACCCCAUAUGCUUUCGAGUGAAAUGGAUUUUUCCGCCUAAAGAGAAGCUUGCGGCUGAUUAGCUUGUUGGUAAGGUAAUGGCUUACCAAGGCGACGAUCAGUAUCUGGUUUGAGAGGACGAUCAGACACACUGGAACUGAGACACGGUCCAGACUCCUACGGGAGGCAG